rnacentral:ncRNA from 1 species
GUUAUUUGAGGUGGUAAAUUGUGUCAACCACACACCUUAUAGGUCAAAAGAGAUGUAGGAAAUGAUACACCUACCAAAUAAC